GUGUCUUCCUCAUGAGUACAAGCACUAAAACUGGAAUUAGAGAACAUUAGUGGCCCCUGUGCAAACUUGAUAGAUUAACUCAUAAAGUGUUCCAUAUUUAA
ensembl:snRNA U6 U6 spliceosomal RNA